rnacentral:rRNA from 1 species
UACGUAGGGUGCGAGCGUUAAUCGGAUUUACUGGGCGUAAAGCGUGCGCAGGCGGCCCGUUAAGACAGGUGUGAAAUCCCUGGGCUCAACCUAGGAAUUGCGCUUGUGACUGGCGGGCUCGAGUACGGUAGAGGGGGGUGGAAUUCCUGGUGUAGCAGUGAAAUGCGUAGAGAUCAGGAGGAACACCGAUGGCGAAGGCAGCCCCCAGGGCCUGUACUGACGCUCAUGCACGAAAGCGUGGGGAGCAAACAGG